rnacentral:rRNA from 1 species
AUUGAACGCUGGCGGCAUGCCUUACACAUGCCAGUCGAACGGUAACGGGCCUUCGGGUGCCGACGAGUGGCGAACGGGUGAGUAAUACAUCGGAACGUGCCCGAUCGUGGGGGAUAACGAGGCGAAAGCUUUGCUAAUACCGCAUACGAUCUACGGAUGAAAGCAGGGGACCGCAAGGCCUUGCGCGGACGGAGCGGCCGAUGGCAGAUUAGGUAGUUGGUGGGAUAAAAGCUUACCAAGCCGACGAUCUGUAGCUGGUCUGAGAGGAUGAUCAGCCACACUGGGACUGGGACACGGCCCAGACUCCUACGGGAGGCAGCAGUGGGGAAUUUUGGACAAUGGGCGCAAGCCUGAUCCAGCCAUGCCGCGUGCAGGAUGAAGGCCUUCGGGUUGUAAACUGCUUUUGUACGGAACGAAAAGCCUUCUUUUAAUACAGGAGGGUCAUGACGGUACCGUAAGAAUAAGCACCGGCUAACUACGUG